rnacentral:sRNA from 1 species
AAUUUGCGUGAGGGAUAGAGGCGGUAUCCUUUUUUGGCUUUUUAGCCAAAAAGAUAAAGCCGAAAGCCCGACCCUUG